AACGGUGAUUUUAGCGAAGAGGGUACACCCGUUCCCAUCCCGAACACGGUCGUUAAGCCCUUCAGCACCAACGAUACUUGCGGGGAAGCCCGCCGGGAAAAUAGGACAUCGCCGCUU
rnacentral:rRNA from 1 species